rnacentral:lncRNA from 1 species
AUUAGUGCCAUUUUGGUUUCAAUUCCCCCCAUUUAGGGCCAUUUUGGGGCCAUUUCCCCCAAUUUAGGCCCAUUUUGGGCCCAUUUAAGGCCAUUUUGGGGCCAUAUUAACCCAUUUAGGGCCAUAUAACCCCUUUUAGGGCCAUUUUGGGGUCAAUUCCCCCCAUUUAGGGCCAUUUUGGGGUCAAUUCCCCCCAUUUAAGCCCAUUUUGGGGUCAAUUCCUCCCAUUUAGGCCCAUUUUGGGGCCAUAUAAACCCAUUUAGUCCCAUUUUGGCCCCAUUUAAGGCCAUUUUGGGGCCAUUUCUCCCCAUUUAAGCCCAUUUUGGGGCCAUUUCUCCCCAUUUAGGGCCAUUUUGGGCCCAUAUAAACCCAUUUUAAUCCCCUUUUCGGGCCAUUUGACCCUAUAUAUACAUACACUCCCCCCUGCGCCACGCCCCCAAAGUCUCCGGCUAAAUACGGCAAGGGGGGGGGGGGGACAGCAA